rnacentral:pre_miRNA from 1 species
AUAUAAAUCCCUUGGGAGCUUGUUAAAAAUGCAGAUUCUGAGUCAGUGGGUCUGGGGAGGGGCCUGAGAUUCCGUAUUUCUAACAAGCUCCCAAGUGAUGCCGAU